AACGAACGCUGGCGGCAUGCCUAACACAUGCAAGUCGAACAAGACCUUUGGGUCUAGUGGCGCACGGGUGCGUAACGCGUGGGAAUCUGCCCUUGGGUUCGGAAUAACAGUUAGAAAUGACUGCUAAUACCGGAUGAUGACUUCGGUCCAAAGACUUAUCGCCCAGGGAUGAGCCCGCGUCGGAUUAGCUUGUUGGUGAGGUAAAAGCUCACCAAGGCGACGAUCCGUAGCUGGUCUGAGAGGAUGAUCAGCCACACUGGGACUGAGACACGGCCCAGACUCCUACGGGAGGCAGCAGUGGGGAAUAUUGGACAAUGGGCGAAAGCCUGAUCCAGCAAUGCCGCGUGAGUGAUGAAGGCCUUAGGGUUGUAAAGCUCUUUUACCCGGGAAGAUAAUGACUGUACCGGGAGAAUAAGCCCCGGCUAACUCCGUGCCAGCAGCCGCCGUAACAC
rnacentral:rRNA from 1 species